AGCUUUGCACAGUGGCAGUACUGUAGCCAAUGAGGUUUAUCCAAGGCAUGAUUAUUGCAAUUGAAAACUUUUCCCAAUACCCCGCCAUGAUGACUCUGGAAAUGUAGUCGGCAUUGGCAAUUUUUGGCAGUCUCUAUGGGGA
rnacentral:snRNA from 1 species